GAGAAUUUAUUUUUUUCCCUUCUACUGAUAAAGAAGAAAAACCUUAUUAAUGAGGCCUCAGUGGUAGUUACACUGCUGCCACUACGCUGUGAGAGAGGUACACUUUUUUUUUUCCCGAGGAGGGUUUAACUGCUUUGUAGAUGCAUAACAAUAUUUCACAGAGAAAGCUUUAUUCAGCUGGAGCUCUUAAACCUCCUUUGUGAAAUGUUGUGGUAUUUUGUGAGAUACGUGGCCUUUGCUGUGCACGUGACGCUGGUAGGUUUCUAGGCAUGCAAGUUCAAGAGCUUUAUUUUCCAGAUAUCUUUUUUCAAUCAAUUAAGCUCAUUGGUAAGACUGGAUGCACUUCAGAAAGGCAGGAAAAGAAAAAUAACCACUAACUCAUCCUUCUGCAGAAGCAGCUGGACUUGCUGCUGUUGUCUGUGCAGAGUAGCUCGGAUGCUGGCUUUGGCUGCCUGCAGGUUCACAGCCCUGGAAUGUUUCUGGUGGGCUUUUCCUCCUUCAUUAGGAACAUUCUUGUGAUGCGGGGGAUUCCUAUCAAAACUAUCAUCACCCUCAUAACGCGAGUCAUUCCCCAGCCUUUGAAUACAGACAGCUGCCAAGCUACAGAAAACAUAGCUGUGCCUCUACAGAGCUCUUCACAGAGGGGUUUUCCCCCCCUCCUUAAAGUUGCAUUUUAACGUGCUUAUAACACCCAGCCCCUCUGGGGGAGUGAACAAAAGGCCUUUUAAAGGCAAUCUUUCAGAAUGCUCCAAUUGUGCCCUUAAUUGCAUCUAAGUACACGUGGGCUCAGCUCUGUGUGGACAUAGUUUUAGCUGUAGGUCGAUUUGAAGCAAGCCACACAUUUUAUAGCAAAGCAAUGCAUAAAAGCACACACAAGAGAAGAAAGCUUUAAUUUAGUCACAUUACUACUGUAAGUAAUAAUGCAUUGCAAGCAAUAAUCAGAUGCAAGAAGUUUAGAGCAGAUGUUCCCUUUACUUUGAUUCUUGAGGCAGUGCAGUAGCAAUUUCUUCCUUUGUAAGAGACAGAUGAUUCAGUGUUAGUAAAAAAAGAGUGUCAGGCAUGAAGUUCUUCCAGUUAAUAGCUGAGGAAUAAUUCACACUGUAAAAUGUGGGGCUGAACAAGGGCUUCCAGGUAUUUCCUCUCCCUGUACUAAGAGCAUUUUGAAAGAGACCUGGGGCUUAUCUUUGGGUUUACAGUAGUGGUUUAAAGUACUAUUUCUGAUAGAUUCUAUUCUUCCCCCACCCUCCACUCCUUACCCCUGGAAGAAUUUAGCUGCUUUCCAAAGAGGUGGGGAAUUGCAGACCACCCACCUCAGAGCCUCUUGCUCAGCAAGUGCUGGAGAAGAGGUUUGCUCCAGCCUGGGAAAACACCACCAACAGCCCAUGCAGGAAAAGGGAAAAGAGGCUCAGCAGGUUGUGCCACUGGCUAGGAGGAGCAAAGCUCAGCUCCAUGAUGCCUGGUGAUACCCCCUAGCUUUGAUGGCGACAACAUCCCAUCAAUCAAGGCAGGAUGUUGCCAUGAGCACACUGGGGCAGAGAGGGCAGUGCUGGGAGGAGAAGACGGCUGUUGAACGUGUGCUUCCCUCCCAACAACAUCAGCAGACCCAAGUAGGCCUUGGAAGUCUCAUGGAAAGUGAGGGGAGAAGUCCCAGGCUGCCUCUUGUCAGAGCAGUGUGGCAUUCCUCAGGAGCAGAGCCUAGGAAGGCUCUGCCAAAGAAAACCCAGAGAACUCUCAGUCACAGGAGGAACGCAGGUUGUAGCAGGGGAGCAAAUGGUGGCCCAGAGAGGCAGGGGAUGGUGAUAUGCAGCGUCAGGGGCCCCAAAAGGUCAACAUAUGCAGCCUCUAAGUGCUCACAAUGACAGCAAAUUGUGGGAAGCCAAGAGCUUCCCACCAUUUGCUCUCGUUCCUGUCACCCACCUGCAGCAGAGCUAAUGUUUCCCACCCCAGAGCUGCUGUCUGGGCAGUAGCUGAGGCAAAACAUCUCUGCAAUAAGGCCUCCUCCAUUCCCUUCCUUCAUAAUGCUGCAAUGUGCUGGGAGAAAGAGACGCAAGUUCCCCAAAACUCACAUUUUCCAAAACAUAAACCGUCAAGGAAAAGCCUUUGCCGGAAUAGCUUCUCACUCCUGGUCUCUUCUCAUCAGCUUCCCCCCUACCCACACAGAUCCCUCAGCAUCUCUUCCAGCUCGGCACAGCACCACAGGGACCCAGGAGAAGCGGGAAGCAAAAACACAUGAAAAUGAAGUAAUGAGACUAAUGCAUGAGAUGGAGAUGGCCAGAUGCGGGGAUAUCAUUCCUUGCUUCUAGGGCGAGAAUUGGCAUUAUGCUUAUGCAGAUGAACAGAGGAAGUUUGGACUGCUGAGACCAUUUGAUAAACUAAAGGAAAGAGAAGAAAGUAAAAGAAAAUUCUCAGGCUGAAGGUG